AAUGGAGGCAACUCUGAUCCAGCCAUGCCGCGUGCAGGAAGACUGCCUAUGGGUUGUAAACUGCUUUUAUAGAGGAAGAACCUCCCUUCGUGAAGGGAAUUGACGGUACUCUACGAAUAAGGAUCGGCUAACUCCGUGCCAGCAGCCGCGGUAAUACGGAGGAUCCAAGCGUUAUCCGGAAUCAUUGGGUUUAAAGGGUCCGUAGGCGGACUAAUAAGUCAGUGGUGAAAGUCUGCAGCUCAACUGUAGAAUUGCCAUUGAUACUGUUAGUCUUGAGUCAUUAUGAAGUGGUUAGAAUGAGUGGUGUAGCGGUGAAAUGCAUAGAUAUCACUCAGAAUACCGAUUGCGAAGGCAGAUCACUAAUAAUGUACUGACGCUGAUGGACGAAAGCGUAGGUAGCGAACAGGAUU
rnacentral:rRNA from 1 species